UACGGAGGGGGCAAGCGUUGUUCGGAAUUAUUGGGCGUAAAGGGCGCGUAGGCGGCCGGCCAAGUCGGGUGUGAAAUCCCUCGGCUCAACCGAGGAACUGCACUCGAUACUGGCUGGCUUGAGUCCGGGAGGGGAUGGUGGAAUUCCCAGUGUAGCGGUGAAAUGCGUAGAUAUUGGGAAGAACACCGGUGGCGAAGGCGACCAUCUGGACCGGAACUGACGCUGAGACACGAAAGCCAGGGGAGCAAACGGG
rnacentral:rRNA from 1 species